rnacentral:lncRNA from 1 species
UUGAAGAGCUGAUAAAAAAAAAAAAAUACAACUUUAGCUCAGAAAUUAGCCGAAUUAUAUGCUAGAUGUUGAAUACGAAACUUCUGUGUAUUCAAAAACAAUACCGGUUAAAGAAGUUGAACAAAUAUUGCCAUAAUUUGUAUGAUAACCGUACUGCAAGAUACAAACAGCAAUACAAUCAUUUAGACAAUCACAGACUAAUUACAAUAGUUGAUAAAUAAUGUGGCGUGCAUGGAUAUAGUUUAAUAUCAGAUUUGCCUGCAUAUCAGUUUAAAAAAAAAAAUAACAAAAUCAAACCGAUAUAUGGAAAGAAAAAAAAUUUAGUUCACACCAGA